rnacentral:rRNA from 1 species
UGCGUAGGCGGCUUUCUAAGUUGGAUGUGAAAACUCUGGGCUCAACCCAGAGACUGCAUCCAAAACUGGAGAGCUUGGGUUCUGGAGGGGAAAGCGGAAUUCCUGGUGUAGCGGUGAAAUGCGUAGAUAUCAGGAGGAACACCGGUGGCGAAGGCGGCUUUCUGGACAGAUACCGACGCUGAGGCACGAAAGCUAGGGGAGCAAACA